GCUUCCACAAUUUACUCUAAAAUGGAAUUAUAUAGAAUAUGAACAAGAUAAAUUAUAAAGUAUAUAUUGAUACUACACAACUUUUAAAAGUUUCAUUGUCAAGAAUCAUUAUAAUUCGUUUAAAAUGAUUUUUAUCGGAUAUGGAUAUUGGUAUUGAUAUUGAAGGGAGGCGCUCGUGGGCGUCCAAGCAUUUAGGCCACCAGACCGCUCUAGAGAACGUCCAAAAUGCCACCCUUUCUAUAGAAGUAAAUAUGAAACUCCAAAAUUAAUACAAACAAGGAACUAUCAUCAUGAAAAAUCGUUACAUUUCAACUGAGAUGGUUUGAAUCAAAGUUGUAGGAUUAUUUGAUGCGGUUUUACAAUGCCCAUCCGAGUUUCAAACUAUGGUAAACGCGAACACAGUUAAACGUAGAAAAUGUCAAAAUGGGUACAUGUCGACGAAUUUUUAAAUUAAAGGUAUUUAAUAUAACAUUUUUAAUUUUUAUGCCUUAUUAUUUUUCAUAACCUCUAAUUCA